UUUUUUUUUUACCACAAAGAAUUUCCUCCUGUUAAAUUUUCAAGCAUUUCUAUUAGGUCUAAAAAUUGUAUCCACUGAACAAAAAUUAUAUAAAAAAACCCCAUAAAAUUAAAAUGUCUGUAAAUAGUUAAAAAGUUGCUACGUUUUAAAUAUUUAACCACAUCUAGAAAAGGCAAAUAUAAGUUUUCUGUUCAAACGUUAAGACUCUACAAUUAUUUUUAACUGAAUCAAAACAAGCAAUUGAAAACGAUACAUUUCAUACAUUUUCCUGUUUAUCCUAAGUUUUUUCCCGAUCUUGCCAAUGAAUGGGGAAAAAAUAAUGACCUCUCCAAAAUACCACACCAGAUUUCCUCUAAGAAAAAUUGCUUAAAGUGGUUCAUAAUAUUAGAG